GCCAGGGGUGGUGGUGCACACCUAUAAUCCCAGAAGCUCGGGAGGCUGAGGCAGGAGGAUCCUGAGUUCAAAGCCAGCCUCAGUAACUUAGUGAGGCCCUGAGCAACUCAGUGAGACCCUGUCUCUA
rnacentral:sRNA from 1 species